rnacentral:lncRNA from 1 species
UGGGACCACCAUGCACUGUUUAUUCCCAGUUUUUCUUGGGACAUUCAUGGAAACUCUGCUCUCCUUGCAGCACGCUCUGGGGUGAAGGUUUGGUGUCUUAACAAGACCCAACAAGACCUGAAGGCCAGCUCAGAAACCAGGGAAGCGUCUUCCUCAUCCCAAAGCAGAGGCAGUGAGGAAAAGCUGCCUGGAAAAAGGAGAAUUACCUUCUAAAGGAAAGCUGUGGUGCCUGCUCACAAGUCCUAAAUUUAGUGCCACGUCUGCGGGGCCGUGUGUGACGCACGGAUCAGCCUCAUUCCUCAUGGGAAACUUCCAGCCUGUGCCACUUUCACCGUCUGGAACAAAUGAGCACCUCCUGGUGAUGCCAUCAGCCCAUGGGAGCAGCAGCCAGAGCUGGAGACGUUCUUGGAAGCCGUAGGAGUGUGGGAUUGUGUAACCUGUUGGCAAAGGUCUAACCCAGCCUGAUAAAAACGGCACUGUCACCAACUGCUUCCAAACAGGAAUGAUGGAGCCCUGAAGAAAUUCCCUCUGAUGUGGCUUGAGAUGGUGACCGUGGCUCAGAAAAGCCGGAAAGCUCCAGGUUCAUUGUCCAGGUGGUCGGAUUUUCAAAUCUUGGAUCAUCUUACAUCCAGAAUCUGUCUCCUUGCACCAAAAUAUCCCAGAAUAUUUCAGAAGCUGCAGCUUUCUCUGCAGGAUCUGCUCCAGGUGACCCAGAACUUUG